AAAUUGAAGAGUUUGAUCAUGGCUCAGAUUGAACGCUGGCGGCAGGCCUAACACAUGCAAGUCGAACGGUAACAGGAAGCAGCUUGCUGCUUUGCUGACGAGUGGCGGACGGGUGAGUAAUGUCUGGGAAACUGCCUGAUGGAGGGGGAUAACUACUGGAAACGGUGGCUAAUACCGCAUGACGUCGCAAGACCAAAGAGGGGGACCUUCGGGCCUCUUGCCAUCAGAUGUGCCCAGAUGGGAUUAGCUUGUUGGUGAGGUAACGGCUCACCAAGGCGACGAUCCCUAGCUGGUCUGAGAGGAUGACCAGCCACACUGGAACUGAGACACGGUCCAGACUCCUACGGGAGGCAGCAGUGGGGAAUAUUGCACAAUGGGCGCAAGCCUGAUGCAGCCAUGCCGCGUGUAUGAAGAAGGCCUUCGGGUUGUAAAGUACUUUCAGCGGGGAGGAAGGUGUUG
rnacentral:rRNA from 1 species